UACGGGGGGGGGCAAGCGUUUGUUCGGAAUUACUGGGCGUAAAGGGCUCGUAGGCGGCCAACUAAGUCAGACGUGAAAUCCCUCGGCUUAACCGGGGAACUGCAUCUGAUACUGGAUGGCUUGAGAUUGGGAGAGGGAUGCGGAAUUCCAGGUGUAGCAGUGAAAUGCGUAGAUAUCUGGAGGAACACCGGUGGCGAAGGCGGCAUCCUGGACCAACACUGACACUGAUGAGCGAAAGCCAGGGGGAGCAAACGGG
rnacentral:rRNA from 1 species